rnacentral:rRNA from 1 species
AGAGUUUGAUCCUGGCUCAGGAUGAACGCUAGCGGCAGGCUUAAUACAUGCAAGUCGUGGGGCAGCACAGUGUAGCAAUACAUGGGUGGCGACCGGCAAACGGGUGCGGAACACGUACGCAACCUUCCUUUAACUGGAGAAUAGCCCGGGGAAACCCGGAUUAAUACUCCGUAACAUUAUGAAGUGGCAUCACUUUAUAAUUAUAGCUCCGGCGGUUGAAGAUGGGCGUGCGUCUGAUUAGGUAGUUGGCGGGGUAACGGCCCACCAAGCCUACGAUCAGUAACUGGUGUGAGAGCACGACCAGUCACACGGGCACUGAGACACGGGCCCGACUCCUACGGGAGGCAGCAGUAAGGAAUAUUGGUCAAUGGACGCAAGUCUGAACCAGCCAUGCCGCGUGGAGGAUGAAGGUCCUCUGGAUUGUAAACUUCUUUUAUUUGGGAAGAAACCCCCGAUUUCUAUUGGGGUUGACGGUACCAGAUGAAUAAGCACCGGCUAACUCCGUGCCGGCAGCCGCGGUAAUACGGAGGGUGCAAGCGUUAUCCGGAUUCACUGGGUUUAAAGGGUGCGUAGGCGGGUUGGUAAGUCCGUGGUGAAAUCUCCAAGCUUAACUUGGAAACUGCCGUGGAUACUAUCAAUCUUGAAUAUAGUGGAGGUGAGCGGAAUAUGUCAUGUAGCGGUGAAAUGCUUAGAUAUGACAUAGAACACCCAUUGCGAAGGCAGCUCGCUACACUAUUAUUGACGCUGAGGCACGAAAGCGUGGGGAUCAAACAGGAUUAGAUACCCUAGUAGUCC